GAUGAACGCUGGCGGCGUGCCUAAUACAUGCAAGUCGAGCGAACGGACGAGAAGCUUGCUUCUCUGAUGUUAGCGGCGGACGGGUGAGUAACACGUGGAUAACCUACCUAUAAGACUGGGAUAACUUCGGGAAACCGGAGCUAAUACCGGAUAAUAUUUUGAACCGCAUGGUUCAAAAGUGAAAGACGGUCUUGCUGUCACUUAUGGAUGGAUCCGCGCUGCAUUAGCUAGUUGGUAAGGUAACGGCUUACCAAGGCAACGAUGCAUAGCCGACCUGAGAGGGUGAUCGGCCACACUGGAACUGAGACACGGUCCAGACUCCUACGGGAGGCAGCAGUAGGGAAUCUUCCGCAAUGGGCGAAAGCCUGACGGAGCAACGCCGCGUGAGUGAUGAAGGUCUUCGGAUCGUAAAACUCUGUUAUUAGGGAAGAACAUAUGUGUAAGUAACUGUGCACAUCUUGACGUUACCUAAUCAGAAAGCCACGGCUAACUACGUG
rnacentral:rRNA from 1 species